rnacentral:rRNA from 1 species
CCUACGGGAGGCAGCAGUGGGGGAUAUUGCACAAUGGGGGAAACCCUGAUGCAGCGACGCCGCGUGGGCGAAGAAGUAUUUCGGUAUGUAAAGCCCUAUCAGCAGGGAAGAAGAAAUGACGGUACCUGAGUAAGAAGCACCGGCUAAAUACGUGCCCGCAGCCGCGGUAAUACGUAGGGGGCAAGCGUUAUCCGGAUUUACUGGGUGUAAAGGGAGCGUAGACGGCGAUGCAAGUCUGAAGUGAAAGGCGGGGGCCCAAACCCCGGACUGCUUUGGAAACUGUAUGGCUGGAGUGCAGGAGAGGUAAGUGGAAUUCCUAGUGUAGCGGUGAAAUGCGUAGAUAUUAGGAGGAACACCAGUGGCGAAGGCGGCUUACUGGACUGUAACUGACGUUGAGGCUCGAAAGCGUGGGGAGCAAACAGGAUUAGAUACCCGGGUAGUC